rnacentral:misc_RNA from 1 species
UUUCCCGCUAGAUAUGACUACUGUGUGAGGUUGAACUUGAGGGGAAACCGUGAAGUUUCUAGCUCAGGAUACUGCUUAGACGAUGAAUUUUGGAGAUCUCAGGAGCAGAAGGUAGUCUCCCUCAUGGACCAAGGUUUGAGAGACAGAUCUAAGUCUGUUCGUGUUAUUUGGAGAAACACUUCAUCUGAAUGCAACUUUGAAGAGGGACUGUCAGAGCUAGACAAUGAGCCAUUGCUCAUUGGGAUUUCUGUCAGCUCUGCAGAGGCAGCAUUUAAAAUGACUGUCGUAGGUCCUAG